rnacentral:rRNA from 1 species
CCUACGGGAGGCAGCAGUGGGGAAUAUUGCACAAUGGGGGAAACCCUGAUGCAGCGACGCCGCGUGAGUGAAGAAGUAUUUCGGUACGUAAAGCUCUAUCAGCAGGGAAGAAAAUGACGGUACCUGACUAAGAAGCCCCGGCUAACUACGUGCCAGCAGCCGCGGUAAUACGUAGGGGGCAAGCGUUAUCCGGAUUUACUGGGUGUAAAGGGAGCGUAGACGGCAGCGCAAGUCUGGAGUGAAAUCCCAUGGCUUAACCAUGGAACUGCUUUGGAAACUGUGCAGCUAGAGUGCAGGAGAGGUAAGCGGAAUUCCUAGUGUAGCGGUAAAAUGCGUAGAUAUUAGGAGGAACACCAGUGGCGAAGGCGGCUUACUGGACUGUAACUGACGUUGAGGCUCGAAAGCGUGGGGAGCAAACAGGAUUAGAUACCCUAGUAGUC